GAUGAACGCUGGCGGCGUGCCUAAUACAUGCAAGUCGAGCGAAUGGAUUGAGAGCUUGCUCUUAUGAAGUUAGCGGCGGACGGGUGAGUAACACGUGGUAACCUGCCCAUAAGACUGGGAUAACUCCGGGAAACCGGGGCUAAUACCGGAUAACAUUUUGAACCGCAUGGUUCGAAAUUGAAAGGCGGCUUCGGCUGUCACUUAUGGAUGGACCCGCGUCGCAUUAGCUAGUUGGUGAGGUAACGGCUCACCAAGGCAAGGAUGCGUAGCCGCCCUGAGAGGGUGAUUGGCCACACUGGGACUGAAACACGGCCCAGACUCCUACGGGAGGCAGCAGUAGGGAAUCUUCCGCAAUGGACGAAGGUCUGACGGAGCAACGCCGCGUGAGUGACGAAGGCUUUCGGGUCGUAAAACUCUGUUGUUAGGGAAGAACAAGUGCUAGUUGAAUAAGCUGGCACCUUGACGGUACCUAACCAGGAAGCCACGGCUAACUACGUGCCAGCCGCCGCCGUAA
rnacentral:rRNA from 1 species